GGUUCUCGUUGCAGUUUUAAUUACAAAUGCACACCCUUCGCCGUCAUUGACGUCCCGCCGUCUCUAAUGUUAAUGUCACGCAUCGCAUCAUCGGAAGACCGUUAAAUUUAACGUCGGCCGUCCGUCGCUGUCCCGUUUUCUAUGUUCUCCGGUGGUUCUGGUUCCGCUGAGUCGGAUGUGAUCCGUUGCUCCGGGUUAACUCGGGUGCGUUGUCUAGUCGAGGGAUGCGAUUACAAGCACUGGCUCGUUGUCAUGGAGGCUCCCAAGGGUUAUCCACCUCGAAACGACAUCGGCAGAGGCUAUCUCAGAACCCUAACGAUGGCGUUCGCUCUGCCUGAGGUCAAAUGGGGUUCUGCCGGAUUCAUUCAUAGACAGUGAAUACGGAUAUGGAGGAGAACCUUUCAUUGAUGGGGAAGUAGACCCGUACGAUGAAAAGUACCACGCAGACUGGCUUUCGAGAUCAAAAUGAUGAUAAUGCUAAAAGCAAAGCCGUUGUAAAGAAGCCCGGGAGAAAAAGAACUAAGAAAUUGAUUAAAUGAAGAUAUUUGUCUAUUAUUGGUUAAUUAGUGUAGCUUUGUGUCAUCUUAAUGAAGGUUGCUGAUUUUUAGACCCUACAGAUGUGCCAGUGUUGCGUCUUGUUAUAAUGAAAAACGUGUGAUGGAGAUAUUUCCACAUAAUGGUUGAUUCUUCGUCUUAUGCUUGUAUUUUCAAUCAGGUUCAUGUAAACACGAUGGAGAUUUUUCCAACACGACAGAAAAUGGGGUUUGGUGGCUUUCACUUGUCUGCCUUCCGGGACCAAGGAAGGCAAGGCCUUUUGCAGCACCUAAUAGAAUCUUCAUUCGGGUUAACCAAGGCAGCGUUCCUGCAUAUCCUGCAUAUUUUACCCAUACUGUUUCCUCGUUCCAUAAAUUCAUACACUAGAAGCAUAUGUUCAUCCUCACUGCAGUAUCCGAUCAAGUUCACCAGAUGGGGAUGCUUCAAUUGACCCAAGAUGAUAACUUCAGCCUGCAGAUUUAAAGUCCAAACGAAAAAAAGAAAUAAAAAGGUGAAAAUGUGAAGGUCUACGAGAAAAGAAGCCGACAAGUCGCUGAGUGACACGGAUGAGCUGCUGACAUCAGAAA